AAAUGAAAACCUAAACCUCUUACCUCUCCUCUCUCAAUUCAUCAGAAACGGCGCCUCUCUCAAACUCUCUUCUCUCAGUCUCUUCUCUCUCUCACUCUCUAGUCUCUUCUCUCUCUCGAUCUCUAGUCUCUUCUCUCUCAUCAUUCAUCAACUAUUCAACUCUCAUUUGUUAGUUUUCUCGCCGGAUCUCGCUGCUCACUCUAUCGUCUUUAAAGAAAACUUGCCGGAAAACUUUCUCGCCUGAAAAAGAAAAAGAAAACUUGCCGGAAAAUCGUAGACUGUAGAGAUCUUGCCGGAAAACAUAAAAACUUAAGCCGGUGUUUCUCUCUCAUCCUUCUACUAUUUUUUCUGAGGUUUCUUGCUGGAACUUGCUCGCUCACUUUAGCUCUUGCUCUCAUCGGAAAACUUGCUUUUUGCCCUUUUUUCUCUCCUACUGUUUUUCUGAGUUGCUGCUUGUGGGCUGCUGUUGCUGAUGCUUGAGUCCUGCUGCUUGUGGGCUGCUGCUGCUGCUUGAGUCUGCUGCUGCUUGUGGGCUGCUUGAGUCUGCUGCUGCUUGUGGGCUGCUUGAGUCUGCUGCUGCUGCUGCUUGAGUCUGCUGCUGCUGCUGCUGCUUGAGUCUGCUGCUGCUGUUGCUGCUUGAGUCUGCUGCUGCUGUUGCUUGAGUCCUGCUGCUGCUUGAGUCUUUGCUUGCUUUGUUAAUUCUGCUUGAAUUUUUUGUAAAUUUGUAUGAUAGUGACAUAGAUAUUCUAUUUUGAUUUAAUUUAUAAUAUUAUUUUAUCUCGA